GGAAGGUCCGGGCGUUAUCCGGAUUUAUUGGGUUUAAAGGGAGCGUAGGCCGCCAGGUAAGCGUGUUGUGAAAUGUACCGGCUCAACCGGUGAAUUGCAGCGCGAACUGUCUGGCUUGAGUGCACGGUAAGCAGGCGGAAUUCAUGGUGUAGCGGUGAAAUGCUUAGAUAUCAUGAAGAACUCCGAUUGCGAAGGCAGCUUGCUGCAGUGCGACUGACGCUGAAGCUCGANAGUGCGGGUAUCGAACAGGAUUAGAUACCCUGGUAGUCCGCACGGUAAACGAUGGAUGCCCGCUGUUGGUCUGAACAGGUCAGCGGCCAAGCGAAAGCAUUAAGCAUCCCACCUGGGGAGU
rnacentral:rRNA from 1 species